UACGGAGGAUGCAAGCGUUAUCCGGAUUGAUUGGGCGUAAAGCGUCUGUAGGUGGUUACGCUAGUCGGCUGUUAAAGAUCAGGGCUGAACCCUGAGCAAGCAGUCGAAACUGCGUGGCUGGAGUACGGUAGGGGCAGAGGGAAUUCCCGGUGUAGCGGUGAAAUGCGUAGAGUAUCGGGAAGAACACCAAAGGCGAAAGCGCUACU
rnacentral:rRNA from 1 species